rnacentral:rRNA from 1 species
GACAUAGGUGGCGAACGUUAUCCGGAAUUAUUGGGCGUAAAGGAUGCGUAGAUGGUGUGAUAAGUUAUCAGUGGCAAAUCGGGGCUCAACCUCGUGGAAGCUGUUAAUACUGUUGUGCUUGAGUUCAGGAGAAGUUAACGGAACUCCAUGUGGAGCGGUAAAAUGUGACGAUAUAUGGAAGAACACCGAUAAGGCGAAGGCAGUUAACUAUUCUGUUACUGACAUUGAGGCAUGAAAGCGUGGGUAGCAAACAGG